AAACCAUCCAUUGAUUCUCCUUACCUGAACGCAUUCCUGAAGCAAUUUAGAAAAAGCUGGCAAUAGUAAAGAUAAGUGAGAAAAUUAAGGUCCCUGAGAGUGGCAACAGUU
rnacentral:snoRNA from 1 species